CAUGUCACUGCAGUGAAUAGUUGUCAUAUGUGUCCACCAACAACACUGAGUUACAGUCAUUAAUGUGGAAAUAGCACUUCCUGAAUCUAUUAUCCUGAACUCAGUGGACAGUCAACAUUUCAGCUUGAAAGGAUCAGAUAUCUGCUCAACAUCCAGUGAACUGUUUCUUCAAUAAACAGUAUGUAUUAUUGAAAAGAUCCAAAGCAUUUAAAAAGGAGUGUCUUUCCUGAAUGCUGAAGGGUUGCACACACUUGAAUGUAUAGUUAUUAUUACUGUAGCUGACAAUGCAAUUAAUAUUUUCAUCAUAGAACAUGUAAUCUAAAUCAUAUAAUAAGAAGUCAAUGAUACAUUAAACAAGACUUUCUGAAACAUUUCUUGAUUUAAUGAUUAUAGACAAACAUCAGAAAUUAAGGACACAGACACAAGAGUGUUUACACAUUACAUUUUGUCAUACUUUCAUAAUGUUUAUUAAGUCAUCUAAAGAAACAGCUUCACAUGCAUUCUUCACUGCUGUCCACACAACAUCCAAAGUGGUUGGAUUUGUCAGUGGAAAGAGACCACCAUAGGACCACUGCUGACCAGAUAUGAAGAUACAAUCUGGGUGAUAAAGUAUUACCAGCAGUGUCACUGAUAUGAUGUAGUAAUGUGUGUGGUGUUGGUACAAGUGCAUGAUGUACAGCAGUGUGUCUGGGAUUUUUAAACAGCUCAGUGUCACUGCUAAGUUGAGAGUGGUCGAUCUUCCAAAACAACCAGCCAAGAGUGGUAAUGGUCAAAAAGUGACCAUUGAUGAAGGACUAGAGGAUGGCUAACACAAACUAUGUUUCAACAGUCUCUAACCGCACACCAGCAUGUGGAGCUACAGUGGAACAGUUUAUGUGUUUGACACUCUGAUCAACUCAGUGUAACUGCUGAGAACAGUCCACCACCCAAAUAAUAUCUGCUUAAAAAUGAAUGGGGUAAAGGUUGGACAAUGGCCAGCUACAGUGUGUAAUUAUACACCUAGCGGUCCUAUAAAGUUAGUGAACAUCAUCAGUACAAGGCAGAAAUAUCUGAUAAACUGGAAACUCAGUGUAUGUGCAUCUAAGAAAUCAUUUUUGACUGCUAGCAUAUAUUUUAGAUGUCGCAUGCUUGUAUAGAAGACAAACAGGUUGUCUGUUGGUAAAAUGCCUCUCAUAUUAUUUUGCGUAACACAGCAGGAGUUGACUAUAGGAAACUGUGAGACACUGUGCACAAAUGAGGAAUGUGGCUCCGUUCCACAACAAAAGCAAAAACAAACUAGCAAAACUGUAAAAAAAAUUCUAAGCCGCUUAUUCUCCUGGGUUGCAGGUUGUUGGGCAGAAGGCAGGAAACAUGCUGGGCAGGUCACCAGUCCAUAACAGCAGACCAGAAUAUCUAAAUAAUAAAAAUAAAAAAAAACUUUCCUAAAUAAAAAAAAACACUUGAAAAAAAGGAUAAUAUGGAAACAUAGAACAUCAGAGAUAUAUUCACAGAAAAACAUGACCGCAGUACAUUGUGAUUGAGUGUAUGAGCUGCAUUAUGGGUGGAGCUGUGUAUCUCAGCAGAGAGCUACACUAAUCCCAUUCAGCUCUGACUCUGCUCUCAGUCACUUCACAUCUCUAUCAACAUGCUGCUCUCUAUCCUUUCUCUCCUAGCACUGCUUUUAGGAGACACAUCAGCACAGACAGUUGUGCCACUGGAAGGAGAAAUGCAUGUUUCAGAGGGUGAUAAUGUUACUCUCUCCUGCAACUACAGUAACCAGUAUGGUGGUGAUGUUCUCCAGUGGUAUCGUCAGUUUCCCAGAUCCAGACCAGAGUUUCUCCUGUAUAUUAACCUCCAUGCAUCUAAGAGUGAUCCUCCUCCUCGAAUGUCUGUUGAACUUGAUCAAGACAAAAAGCGUGUGGAUCUGUUGAUCUCCUCUGCUGCAGUUUCUGACUCUGCACUCUACUACUGUGCCCUGCAGCCCACAGUGACAGGAAACCCAGCUACACUGUACAAAAAAAAACAUUAGAUACUGUACAAAGCCUGUGGAUUAAUAAUGUUAUCUCUGUUGUCUCAGAAUGUAUCUGUGUAAAG